rnacentral:rRNA from 1 species
GACGAACGCUGGCGGCGUGCUUAAUACAUGCAAGUCGAACGGAAAGGCCCUGUUUUUGUGGGGUGCUCGAGUGGCGAACGGGUGUGUAAAACGUGUGUCACCUGCCCUUGAUUUUGGGAUAAAUCUAGGAAACUGGGGUUAAUACAGGAUAGGAGCUCUUGCUGCACGGUGGGGGUUGGAAAGUUUAGGCGGUUGGGGAUGGACGCGCGGCAUAUCGGCUUGUUGGUGUGGUUGUUGCUUAACAGGGCUUUGGCGGGUAGCCGGCCUGAGCGGGUGACCGGCCACAUAGGGUCUGAGGUGGCGCCCAGAAUCGUACGGGAGGCAGCAGGGGGGAAUAUUGCACGGAGGGCGGCAGCCGGAGGCAGCAACGCCGCGAGCGGGAUGACGGCCUGCGGGUUGUAAGCCGCUUUGGCCUGUGACGAAGCGUGAGUGACGGUAAUGGGUUAAGAAGCGCCGGCUAACUACGUG